rnacentral:rRNA from 1 species
UACGUAGGGGGCAAGCGUUGUCCGGAUUUAUUGGGCGUAAAGAGCGUGUAGGCGGUUAGGUAGGUCCGUUGUGAAAACUCGAGGCUCAACCUCGAGACGCCGAUGGAAACCAUCUAACUAGAGUCCGGAAGAGGAGAGUGGAAUUCCUGGUGUAGCGGUGAAAUGCGCAGAUAUCAGGAAGAACACCCGUGGCUAAGGCGGCUCUCUGGGCCUUACCUGACGCUGAGGAGCGAAAGCGUGGGGAGCGAACAGG